ACUCACCACCAUAUAUCAUACUACUAUCUCCACCUAAUUUUAUAAAGAACUCAAGACCAUGUCACAGACAGGUCAGCGUAACUGUGUAUUCACAAUAGGCUCAUCAUCAAACAAAUGAUGAGCAUAGGUCACUUACAAUCUCAUCAGAGCAUGUCAAACUACCCUAUGGGCGAUCACAAAUUUCCUAUGGAAUCAUCAAAAAAG
rnacentral:misc_RNA from 1 species